CUCCCAGAAAAGGGAGCCACGCCUUCGGGUGGAACGUGCACAGGUGCUGCAUGGCUGUCGUCAGCUCGUGUCGUGAGAUGUCGGGUUAAGUCCCUUAACGAGCGAAACCCUUGUCUCUAGUUGCCAGCGAGUAAUGUCGGGGACUCUAGAGAGACUGCCGGUGUUAAACCGGAGGAAGGCGGGGAUGACGUCAAGUCCUCAUGGCCCUUAUGACUUGGGCCGCACACGUCCUACAAUGCAACGUACAAAGGGAAGCAAGCUCGCGAGAGUAAGCAAAUCCCAAAAAGCGUUGCCCAGUUCGGAUUGCAGGCUGCAACUCGCCUGCAUGAAGCCGGAAUCGCUAGUAAUCGUGGGUCAGCAUACCACGGUGAAUAUGUUCCUGAGCCUUGUACACACCGCCCGUCAAGCCACGAAAGUGGGGGGGACCUAAAGCCGCUGCGCUAACCGUAAGGAGGCAGGCGUCUAGGGUCAACUCUGUGAUUGGGACUAAGUCGUAACAAGGUAACC
rnacentral:rRNA from 1 species